CAGCUUUCUGCAAGUCUGGUAACUCCUGCUUCUUCAGUGAAUCAGCUGAAGAGAAAGUGAUAUCAAGUUCAGCCAAUACACUGGAAUGACUGCAGCAGGAGAAAGUACUACCCAGUUUCCUGAAGUAUUUGGGGAAAACCUUUCAUUAGCAUUUAGAGUUCCCCCCUCCAAAAUGAAGAAAGUAAUAUUUGCCAUCUUCAGAGGUGGGUUCUAAGAGAGGAAGAAUAGGAAGGAAGAGUGGAAAACAAGAGGGAGCAGUGUUAAUGACAAGAGCAAAGCAGUAAAGCACAAAAGUGAAGAAGCAUCGAGAAACUGCUCUGUGCUGUGCUAUCAUUACCAGAUAUAAAACAGUUUUCCAAUGUGAGGCUCACAAAGAAAUUGGUAGCACUUGACCCACAUAGUUCUUUCCACAAACCUCUAUGAGCUUA